ACUCCUACGGGAGGCAGCAGUGAGGAAUAUUGGUCAAUGGGCGCAAGCCUGAACCAGCCAAGUAGCGUGAAGGAUGACUGCCCUAUGGGUUGUAAACUUCUUUUAUAAAGGAAUAACCAACAGUACGUGUACUGUUCUGUAUGUACUUUAUGAAUAAGCAUCGGCUAACUCCGUGCCAGCAGCCGCGGUAAUACGGAGGAUGCGAGCGUUAUCCGGAUUUAUUGGGUUUAAAGGGUGCGUAGGCGGACAUUUAAGUCAGCUGUGAAAGUUUGAGGCUCAACCUUAAAAUUGCAGUUGAUACUGAAUGUCUUGAGUAUGUUAAAGGCUGGCGGAAUUCGUGGUGUAGCGGUGAAAUGCUUAGAUAUCACGAAGAACUCCAAUUGCGUAGGCAGCUGGCUGGACCAUAACUGACGCUGAGGCACGAAAGUGUGGGUAUCAAACAGGAUUAGAUACCCUGGUAGCUACGAG
rnacentral:rRNA from 1 species